UGGGGAAUAUUGGACAAUGGGCGCAAGCCUGAUCCAGCCAUGCCGCGUGAGUGAUGAAGGCCUUAGGGUUGUAAAGCUCUUUCGCCGACGAAGAUAAUGACGGUAGUCGGAGAAGAAGCCCCGGCUAACUUCGUGCCAGCAGCCGCGGUAAUACGAAGGGGGCUAGCGUUGUCCGGAAUCACUGGGCGUAAAGCGCACGUAGGCGGAUUGUUAAGUCAGGGGUGAAAGCCUGGAGCUCAACUCCAGAACUGCCCUUGAUACUGGCAAUCUCGAGUCCGGAAGAGGUAAGUGGAACUGCGAGUGUAGAGGUGAAAUUCGUAGAUAUUCGCAAGAACACCAGUGGCGAAGGCGGCUUACUGGUCCGGUACUGACGCUGAGGUGCGAAAGCGUAGGGAGCAAAACAGGAUUAGAUACCCUGGUAGUCCACGCCGUAAACGAUGGAGGCUAGCCGUUGGCGAGCAUGCUCGUCAGUGGCGCAGCUAACGCAUUAAGCCUCCCGCCUGGGGGAGUACGGUCGCAAGAUU
rnacentral:rRNA from 1 species